UAGUGCUCUUGGCUUUCCAAUAUGUAGAAUAUACUUUAAAAUCUUGUUCAAGUUUAGUUUAUAAGUAUUUUCUCUCUCAUGAAUAAAACUCUAUGUUUCCUUCAGCAUUUGAGGUAAAAAUGGGACAAUUAGGAGAAACAAAUUUUAGGUGUUUAGUCUCUUUUGAAUGAAGGAAAAACUCCCUGGAAAAAGUUCAGAGUGUGAAAUUUGAAAUUUAACUUGGUGCCACCCGAGGCUGGUUUGAUUCUCGGUAACUGCUGUAUUUAGGUACUAAGAGUCAGGGCCCUAGGAAGCUUAGAUCCCUCCUGGGCAAAUGUGACUGAUUUUGUCCCUCCUUUUUCCUUCUGCCUAAGCCUGCAGGGUGCUGUUAGCCUGGACUAGCGCACUCAGAUUCCAUCUUUCAGAGUGGUUUCUGCAGUCGCCUGGGUCACUGGCGCCUAAUGAAAAACUCCCAGAAGUUAUUCCAAAGUCUCUUGCGUUACUCCUGUGCUCCAUUUCUCAGUUUUAGGUACUCUGUUAUCUCUGUAACCUAAAUUCUGUUAUUUCUGAAAGAAAAAUGUACAAUGUAUAUUCAUGCAUUUAAAGAUAGACCAAGUAGGCACAAAAAAAGGCAAAAUGUGGAAUGCUGUUUAUUCAGUUCUUCCAUUUGUAUGAAAAUGGAAACAGGUGUGUGUAGGGAUGUGCUUGUAUAUGUGCACAUAUUUCUAGAAGGAUAGAAGUGAUGUUCAAAAUAUUUAACAACUGGUUCAGCACUGACACAGAGAUGGGUGCUGGUUUUAGAGCUCAAGGGAUUCUGGAGGUCCCCUAACAUCUAUGUAAUAAUGGAUCUAGACUCUGGGGGGCAGCACUCCAAGGCCAUGCCAGGCAGCCACCAACUGCUUCUCUGGGGAAGGGGGCUGAGGGCAGGAGGGACUUAUUUUUCAAUGUGCCCUUUAGUACUGUUUGAAAGGUUAUUUUUUGUUUGAAUCCUAUUUAUGUGCAUGUAGGUAGAUUUUCAUUUUGUUUAGCUUAGGAGAUAAGUCUUAGUUUUAGAAUUUGUUUGUGGACAUUUCUGUCUAGUUAUUUACCUCCAGCCUGUCUCCAGCCUCAAGGCCAUUUCCUGUAGUUCCAUUUUGCUGAAUCCUCCACUGAGAGCUCUCCUUAAGCUUCUUAAGCCCCUCUGUUUGAGGGGAAGAGAAGACCUGGCUGAACUCCCUCUCAUAAUCUCUCAGUUCUCCCCAACCCCAACACUGGUGUCUGAGUCUCCUUUUAUUGCUUAUCUUGAGCCUCUUGUCUCUCCACCUACCAGACCUCAAUUCCAUUAUUAACCAGUAUAGGCAUCACGGCAUCACACUGCUUAAUCUUGUGAUCAGAAAAUAAGUGCUUUUGUGUGUGUGUGUGUGUGUGUGUGUUCCCACAACUUUUGUGCAUAUGGAGAAUUAGGUUUCCUAUACACACCAGCCCUAAUGAGAAUAGUUCUUAUAUUAGUGGUAACACACAUAGCUUGAGCCUCCACCUGCCUAAUGCGACACACUGCUCCCUUCCACCUUCCCAUUAUUACUGGGAGGCAGGAUAUGGUGAUCCCUGCAAUGUGCUUCCUCUCUUGCCUGUUCUUCCACUUUGAGCUUCUUGUUAACCCCCCCCCCCCGCCGCCACGAGGCCACUGGGGGGCAGUGUCUCGUCGCAGUCAAAGUUGCUUUCUCCCUGGGCCCCAAAGGCCAUCAACCGCACUGUUACUAAGUUGUGGAACGAAGCCUCUUCUCUUCCACUUUGCCUCACAUUUUUCACUUGGGCCCCCAAAGAACAUGACAUGUGUUCAUUGUCUCACUUGAGCCCCUUCCCUCUCUACCUGCAGGUUCUUUCUCUGUAGCGGUCAGGCAUGAGUCUAUGGAGCAAGUACAGGGAACCAAAGUCACCCCACCCCCAUCCCAAGGCUAUCCUUUCCCACUCUCCUUUCUUCACCCUGAGAUACCACGAGACCAUUUUCCGACAGUCAUCUUUGCUUCAGGCUAAUCAGCACCUACAGCCAGGUCAACUGCUCCCUUAGAUUUAUCAGACCAAGUUGACUGUUUGUGGUGGGCACUACUGGCCUCAAGCUGAUAGCCUGGCCAUGCAUAUUCUGUUAAUGCCUAUCUCACUGUGUGGCAAUUGUCUGCAGACAUGUCUGCUUCCCCCGUUAGACUGUGGCUUCCAUGAAAGUGAGCUCCUAACAGUGUGGUGUUCAUUUUUGUAUCUCCAGCAUACAGUCCCCUGCCUGUUACACAGCUGACCUUGGUAAAUAUUUUUGAAAGAAUAAAUGAACACAGCCCAAUUAGCGAAGAUAUGUCGAAAGAAGCAGCCCAUCUUUGCCAAAAGGAAAUUCAGGCAACACAUGCAGAGGGAGAGAAGCUCUUCUUGAAGAGCACCCACUUUCUUCUAGAGCAGCCACUCACAGCUCUCUCGACUCCUUGGACCCUCAGGGUUGGGGAAGACCCAGGGUUAGGACAGCACUUUCGGGGGAGGUUUCAUUGACCUUGUUUUGAAACAAUAACAUGUUGAAGAGCCAGGUGACUAGUUACAUUUUAUUGUGUACCUGCCAGUUGAAAAAAACAAGGUCAAAAACACAAAAGGAUAGAACAUGGCAAAACAUAUUGAUUAGACAGGGGAAAGCAGAUGACACAGAGGGACAGGACAUUUUAUUUUUAUCAUUCCAAAUUCAGAGAAAUAUAAUUAACUCCAUGCUCGGUUCACCUAAGUUUUUAUAGCAGAGGUGAACAUGACAGAUUGAGGCACAAAUUUGUUAAUGCUGAAUAUUGGACAUUUCUUCUGUUACUAUUUACUGGACAUAAUCUGAUGUUAUGUGAUAGACUGUGAUAUGCAAAUGACUUCAAUCAGGAAAAAAGAUAACUUGUGUAACUUUAUCUGACUUUAUUCUCUACACAUACUGAGAAACAAACCCAUUAAUCACAGCCUAGGCAGAAACUCUUCAAGUAGUGUGUGAGACAAACAGAGGUAUUAAUUAUAUUUAUUAUGGUAAUAAUAUACUUAACACUUCCUUCAAGGCAUGAUAGUUGCAGAAAUUGGGAAAAAUAAGAACACUCUAGCAGACUUACAGACACUCAGUGGCAGUAUCACAAAUAAUCACAAUAAUUUCAGAGAUGAGGAAGCAGAGAGAGAGGGAGAGAGGUGUUAAACAAUUUGUUAAACAUCACAUAGCUGGUAAGGAGUCUCUCUAAUUCCAAAGCAUGGCUUCUUUCCUCUACACAGCAGUGCCUCCCCAAUUAGAGAAUGUUAUAGUGUAAAAUCACCAGAGGAAUAAUGUGAUUUCCAGUAAUUUUUAAAACGAUGUUGUCUGGUCACUUGUUCUGGUUUCUCUGUUCUACAUAACAGUUAUGUACCCCAUAAGGAUGUUUUGGUCAAUAAUGGGCUGCAUAUAUGGUGGUGGUCCUGUAAGAUUAUAAUGGACCUGAAAAAUCCCCAUUGCCUAGUAGCAUAGCUUUUGUCACAUAGCACAGACCCGUGGGUGUGGUGAUGCUGGUGUAAACAAACCUACCACACUGCCAGCCUUAUGAAAGUAUAGCACAUGCAUUAUGUACAGUACAUAAUACUUUAUAAUGAUAAUACGUGUUCCUUAUGUGUUUACUAUACUUUUAAUUGUUAUUUUAGAGGGUACUGCUUCUACUUAUAUUUUUAAAACUUAACUGUAAAAGCACCUCAGGCAGGUCCUUUGGCAGGUAUUCCAGAAGAAGCAUUGUCAUCAUAGGAGGUGACAGGUCCAUGUGUGUCAUUGCUGCUGAAGACCUUCCAGUGGGACAAGGUGUGGAAGUGGAAGACAGUGAUAUUGAUGAUCCUGACCUGUGCAGGUCUAGGCUAAGAAUAUACAGUUUUAGCUGGCAAGCUGCUGCCCAGCCCAAGGCAACUUUUUCCAGAUUCCUUGCAUGUGGGUGUGACCAGUUCUCUAGUUAUUCCCAAUGGGAGAUGAGUAAAUUGAAACACAGAGAAGCCAAGUGACUGUCUUUAUCCAGUGAAGAAGUGGUGUGCAGGAAUUCAGACCAGAUGGUGUGACUCCAGGAUCUAUGCUCUUUAUCUCCAUGCCAGUCUGCCCAUUCUCCUGUGCCCUUCUCAUUUGAGAAGUUGCUGCUUGCUGCCCAGCUUACAGUUCAGGUUGCCAGGGAGGGAGCAAUAUUUUUCAUAGCACUUAGUCCAACCCUCUUGUUACAGCUGAUUGGAUGACAGGUAGAUAGAUCCCUGAUCAAUGAUAGUCUAUGGCUAUUCUGCAAUCUGUCACUCAGGUGGACUCUCACUCCGUGGUAUUUAAAUGAAGCAACUUGGAAAUAAUUUGCUAGUUGUUAAGGAACAGGAAAAAGUGGAUGGGUGGCCUGUAGAUGAGUCAUAUUUAAAGUGACUUAUAUAUAAUAAAGGUAU